UGAGGAAUAUUGCGCAAUGGGGGAAACCCUGACGCAGCAACGCCGUGUGAGUGAUGAAGGCUCUCGGGUCGUAAAGCUCUGUUUGGUGGAAAGAAAGGCUCCUGACGAAUACUCAGGCAGCUUGACGGUACCAUCAGAGGAAGCACCGGCUAACUCCGUGCCAGCAGCCGCGGUAAUACGGAGGGUGCAAGCGUUGUUCGGAAUCACUGGGCGUAAAGGGCGCGUAGGCGGUUUGAUAAGUCAGAUGUGAAAGCCCACGGCUUAACUGUGGAAGUGCAUUUGAAACUGUCAGACUUGAGUAUCAGAGGGGAAAGUGGAAUUCCCGGUGUAGAGGUGAAAUUCGUAGAUAUCGGGAGGAAUACCGGUGGCGAAGGCGACUUUCUGGCUGAAUACUGACGCUGAGGCGCGAAAGCGUGGGGAGCAAACA
rnacentral:rRNA from 1 species